UCAUGAGUAGAGUGUCACAGAAAAGAUGAUAAAAAAUUUUUCCAACAAUAUAUUAAAUUAUUUUUUUCUAAAGGCUAAUGGGGCAUGGAGGAGGAAUGAAAAUAAUUACAAAAGGCUGUAGUGUUUGAUUCUUUUCAAAUAGUCUUCUAAUACAUCUCUGUUUUAAUCAAUACUUUCUUUUCUUUAGUUUUCAACAGCUUGCAUCUUAUUAUUGUCACUUUGGUUUUUCUUGCAAUCAUUUACUCCAAAGCCCCAAGUAUUCAGGCUGGAAUCUCAUCCAUUUACUUUAGAUACCUCACUGAGGCAUCAUUAUCUCAAUGAAAUUUUAGGUGCUUAGCCCUGGAAGGGACAAGAGGAGCAAUCUAAUUCCUCAGCUUUGCUGUAUGGGCAGAGGACACAAAGAGAGGCACUUCUGAAGACCUGCAGAAAAUGACAGCUUUCUUUGAGGCACUUAGAGUGCCUCCUUCUUUCUACUGUCUGCAACUGAACUCCCAGUGCCAGUGGGCAAAGCCAGCCUGCAGCUAGAGCACUGAUGUCCUCUUGGAAACUCAUCUGAAACAUUCCUACCACUCCAUCAACACAGGAUCCAGCCUCUUUAUCCCUACUGCAGGACUGACGUUCAUGAGAUCACAGUGCUUCUGCCCACAUUUUGCAUAAAGAUGCAAAAACUUGUAAGAAAGGAAGUGGGUGAUGUUUUUAGAACCUAAUUAAGCCCCGAGCUCCAACUUCCCAUCAGAAUGGCAUAACCAGCAACCAUUGGGUAUGUGGAUGGUAGGUGCUGCAGCUGAGUGCCCGUGCAGCCUGGAACACGAGGCACAGGGCCACAUCAGAGAAGACAAAAGCAAACCCAAGGUUGGCCUAGCAGCCCAGAUGCUCUCUGGUGCAGGGUGGAGAGUUACAAGGUUAUGUUUUGCUUUUCUUGUCUGCUGUAUGACACAUCUUUUCCACAUGAUCUAUCUGAUCUGAAAAGCCUGAAGCAUGAGUAGUUUGGUCUGGUUUGCAUUCCACUUCCCUCACAUGCCUUCUCCAUAUCAGGUAAGUUCUGAGCAUCCCCCCUGCCUCUCAGUCAAGACUCAGAGGCCAAAGAUUUAGAAGAAGGUAUGAAGAAAAAAAGCAAUAACAAAAAUAAAAAUAUUUUUAAAAAAAUCUCCAAACAUGUUUACCCACAAAACCUGCAUGGAGACAUAAGGCAGGUGAGCUGCUAACAAAAAUACAUAAGCUUUUCUUAAAAACUUCUAUCAUAAAACACUUAAAAUACUACAUAUAUUUAGAAUUGAGCAGGGUUAUUAACAGGCUUCACACUGUACAUGGCAACUUGACUUGCCUGAAAGAAGAAGUCAUAUGGAAAUUCUAGAUGUAACCAGCAUAAUUUCAGCAGUGGAAAUCAGUUCUUAUGUAAUUCCUGAAUUUAUUGGAAAAUGUCUGUAAGUAGAUUAACUGAUUGAUUAACAUACAUGAAGUUUCAAAACCACUUUGACAAAAUCCUGUGCAAAAGGGAUGAUAAGCACACAGGGGAUAAGAACCAGCAUAUAUGUAGAACAGAAGAAUAGAAACAAAACCCUGCAGAGAGUGAAACAACGGAAUUGAUUUUCGUCAGAAAAUCACAGCAAAAGAAGAACAGGGUGUCAAGGUUCCAUUGAAUAUCCAACUCUGGCUAAUACAUUCCUUAAUGCCUCAGAUAGGGUAAGGGAAAAGCUGUUGCAUUAUAAUGGCAUGGUGUUUCUGUUAGUCAGGACAGGAGAGGAGCAGAGGAAUUUCAGACAUUUAAACAAGCAGAGUGUUCUGGCAAUAUUCCAAGACCAAGAAAAUAAUUCUAUUAAAUAGAAAAAAGAUUAAUUAUGCCCACUAUAGAAAUGGCUUUGUUGACAGUUCAUUUGUGUUAAAAAAUAUCCAGUGUCAAUAAUUGCCAUGUGAUUAUUUCAGUGUUUGUAUAGGGAUGUCUGCAAGCACUUGUGGAAUUCCCUAAGUAACACUGCCCAACCCAUAGCUAAGAGUAUUUUGUUAGGGUUCAGCAAAUGGACAGAAAGGUUAUUAUGCUGCAAAGCAAGAGUUUUCCAUGACACCCAGGUCUGCCAUGUGUCUUUGAUCUCUUCCUUAGCAAUACUGUAAGACAAACACAUCUUUCAUCAAAAGUGUGCCUAGCACCAUUCUAAUAUGAAGGAAAUAAUAAAGCAGAAUCACCACUCAAAAACUGGCCAUUGUGAGCUGAUCUGCACCUGUAUUUUUGUUGCAUCUGCUUGCAAAAAUACUUGAAUGCCACAUAAAAUAGUAUUGCUCAAGGCAAGGUUUGUGGGGAGAACGUAGCAGACCAGCUUUCAGGUACAUGUAAUCCUGCCCAUCCCGUUACCCAAACAGGACUAUCACAGCACUGCUACUGUUGGUAUUGAAGGUUUGAAAGCAGAGUGCACUGGUCUCAUCUGUGCUGCUUGUGGGCACUUCCCUGAAGACUACACUCACUGCUGUUGCAGCUGGUCAGUCAGCUUCAGGAAGCAGUGGGAUUGAAUCCUUUGAGGACAUGAGAGUCUUGGUUUUGGUCAUAUCAGCUAUAGAUAAGCAGGUGACUCCAUGCCACAAAGCAAGGUGUCCUCCCACUGAUAAUAGAUGGGUGACCAGGUCAAGGAAGCUGAGAGAUGGAGUUUGAAUGUCAAGAUCUUCAGAGUUGGACAGAAUUAGCCAAAGAGGCAAGGACUGUGCUCCAUGCACAUGCAUGUGAGGUUGGGGCUGUGACUGAUGUUUUAGACAGUCAGUGGAGGCACCUGCUGCUGCCAGAAUAGGGCAAUUCUUACCUUUUGUGAGUUUUUCAUACAGCUUGAAGUUACCCCAGUCUGUCUAUGUGUGCCUCACUUCAGUAUGAAGAUACUUUUCCAUGUGUAUUCCUGUUUCAACAAUUGACUUCAACAAUUGACAAUUGAUUUCUUAGAUUGUAUUCUUACAUGUUGUCUUUAGGACCCACACUGCUUUUGCAUUUGGCUCCUUGGGGACAGAUUCUGACCCCAGUGCUCCCCCAAGAAGGGGAAAAGCAUCUCUUGUUUCUGUUGAUGUUUUUAAAGACUGACUGGGUGUUUCCAUCUGCCUGUCUCUAAGACAGUGGCAUAUGAGAGAGCAAAUGCAGUGAUGGGUAAAGAGAUGUGUAAAACAAGCUGGAGGGAAGAUCAGGCCAAAACAUGAUGCAAAGGAAGACAUGCAGGUGACAGAAGAUAGGAACUGUGAGAAAGCAUAGAGGUUGGUUCACUUUGGUUUAACUUUGCUAAAAAAUGUUCCAGCUCACUGCUGACUGAGAUCAUGUCAUGCAGUGGGAAGGAUGAAGAUGGGCAGCCUUCUGAUCCAUAGGGUGAGGAUGUUUGAAAGCAAGUGGAGCUGAAAAGCCUGGUGCAGUAAAAUCAUCUAUCUUGUAGCAGUGGUGGGGUGAGGGGCAGCUGCCCCUCCCUGACCCCUGGCAGAGGUAUGCUGAGAGAUGAAAACACAAACAUGUCCCGAGCUGCGACAUGUGCAGGGCCCGAUGUUAUCUUUCUCCCUUCUAUAUCAAAUACACUGGGGGUUAUUGAGAGUAGGAAAUGGUCUGGCAGUUCUUUAAGCCCACUUUCCCCUUCUUUUUAUCCCUUCCCUCUGGCACAGAGGCUUUGCACUUCUCUUUGUCAAUGGGUCCUGUCUCCCUAAUCUCCCUAGACACUUAUUACUGCUGCGGCUUGUUCCUCUAACCCUUUCAGCAAUCUCUGCACUGUUACUUCUUGUCCUGGGACAGCCAAUGCUCUCUCCCAUUUUUCCCAAUUCCAUCUCACUUUACUUUCUAAUCACCCAGACAAACCUGUCUCUCUAUCUGCCUGCAAUCACUGGAUUCUCUGUUCUCUUGAUCACACCUGCCUGUCAGUUGUCCAAAAAGAUUACAUAUGCCUUGAAUUUUCCACUUUAAUAACUGAAUGAUUGCAGUGUUAUAUAACUUGUUUAUGUUUGGCUCGUGCAGUGCUGGUUUGGGCUUCGGCUAUUCUAUAGCAUUACAUUAAUUUACCAAACACAGAGGAACUGUGUGAAAAGCUCACAUGGCCAAGAAAUUACAGACUCAACAUUUUAAAUUUGAAGGGAAAAGUUAAACAAAAGAAUAAAUAACUCCUGCUAUUCUUGAGGACAAAUUCACAUAUGGCAUAGACAAGGUAAGAGGAGACAUUUGAUGGCUGAGGAGACAUUUCUCAUUCCUUGUCCUUGGGAUGAUCCAAGUCUCGGUAAACACUGAGCUUUAUUUUUUAUUCUUCAUCUCAUUUUUCUCAGCAUAAAAGCAAAUCAAAGUGUGAUCAAUGCUGAAUUGCCUUAAGAACAACUGCAGAGAAGAUUCAGCAGGGUUUACACCUUGCACUUUCUCCAAUAUUUGUCUGUGAGGAAGUGCCAAAUGUUCCAGAAUUGUAGUUUGACCCCCUAGAAUGUAUGUCCUAGAAAUUAUCAAAGAAAAUUCAUUCUGCUUAUAAAAAUAAUUUAAAGGAUGGAAAAAGCCAAAGGCUCAUCCUGACAGCUGUUAAGAACACAUUUUCAGUUUUGAUUGAUCACUGGAACAUGCUCCCCAGGGAAGUAGUCAUGGCAUCAAGCCUGCCAGAGUUCAGGGAGCAUGUGGACAAUGCUCUUAGUCACAUGGUUUAUUUUUGGGCAGUCCUGCGAGGAGCAGGGACCUGCAAUCAAUAAUACUUUCAGGCCCUUCCAACUUGAAAUAUUUUAUGAUUCUAUGUCUGAUUCCAAUUUUAUAUAUGAUAUUAGUCUUCAUAUUUUUUAGAGGUCAUAAACUAUUUUGAUUAUAUGUAAUCCAUUACUUAUGAUAAUUUAAUUUUAAAGUCUAUUAAGAUGGCAGUUUAAUUCAACAUCAUCAUCACAUCUCAGUCUGCUGAGACAGUACAGAAUGAAACAUUGGCCAUUUUUUAAAAUCUCUCACUAGAUAUUCUCAAAUAUGUAACCAAGUGGGUAAUUCUUAGUCCUCUGGCUUCCCUAAGAGCUGAAAUUGCUUGAGCCUGAUAGAUGAAAUUCAGAUUCCCAUGAAGUGCACUUGUUAGAAAUGAUGCAUUUCAGAUUCUGGAUUAGUCUUGGUUUCAUAUUACUUUCUAAUCUGCUGCUGUUUCAGUAAUAUCAGCCAUUUACAUUCAGUAUUUAAUGACAAUAAGCCUAACCUAAAGGACUCAGCUAUUGCUGCUUGUAUAUAUGUUAAAUUCUUAGUGUCUGAGUUUGGGGAUUUUUUAUGUGUGUUUGUACGUUUAAAAGCAUGUAUUUAAGUACCACCAUUGUAUUAUAAAAUGACAUGGGUAUUUUACAUGUAUAAGAAGCUUUUAAAACAGUUUUACAACAAGAAUUUUUUCAUCAAGUAAAAGGCCUUAAUCCAAACCAACCAACAAUUAAAGAGAUGACUUGCAAUCUAUAAACCUACUUCUUAAAACCAGGCUAUUUGUUUUCUAGAAACUUGCAAAAAUACCAUCACCCAGUCAGAACUGUCACUCUAACUGUUAAUUGAUAAGUAUAGGAUAAGCUGCUUUAGCAAUACAGAGCAUUUUAUUCCAUAAUCCCAGCUAGAAGAUGUUUUCCCUACCCCCUGACUUCACUUCAAAGCAGAUUUAUCUGAAGUCUAGAUUACUAAAGUGAGUUUAGACUACUUUAGUAAUAAAAAAAUGUAUAUACAUAUACAUUGUAAAUUAUGUGCACAUUUAUGCGUACAGAGAGUAAAAUAACAUUUUCAAAUUGUAUUAAGCCUGUGGAAGGUGGAUGGCAUUUUCUGUACCCAGGAGUGAAUAGAGAAGUGUUUAAAGGUGUUGGUUUAUGCUGAAACUUCUUUACUCAAAAGAGUAGGGAUUUUUGUAUAUAAAUCACAUUACAGCAUUGUUACUACUUUGAAUGAAGGAGUUGUAUUGGUUAUAACACUGACUAGCUACAAAAAAACUAGUGAUGGAGUCCAAAUUCUCCUGAUAGUCAUAUAGUGAAGAUGCAAGCCAUAGCAAACAAGUUUUUAUCCAUCAAAAGUAUAACUCCAGAAGCCUUUACUACUGUUUCAGAUUAAAGCAGAAGCAACAAAAACCAUACCUUAUGUACAGGAUGAAUGGCUUUAUGCUCAUAGUUUCAAUAGCUGGGUUUCUAAUUGCAAAACCAAGGGGGUUUCCUGCAACUUGCAUGUUGGGUCUUGCACCUAUUUCACUUCUGGCCAGCUUGCCUUUUAUUGGGGUUUUGCUUCUUAAUUAUGAGACUAUUAACAGCCAAUUCACUAUGUUUUAGUUGGUUUAUUAGGUUGUUUUUGAUUUUUUUCUCAAGGAGAAGCCAAAAUUUCAUAUCUGGCUUCCCUUGCUUUUUGUUUGUCAUGACAUCAAUUACGCCCUUGUUUUGCAACAAACUGUUUACAAUAUGUCAUUAAUAGCAGUCAAGGAUCUGGUUCUGUCUUUCUUGUUGUUGAACUGAUAGGGAGAGUAUGAAGUGAACUGCUUCAUCAAAAUACAGUUUUUUUACAGAAAAGUGCACAAAUUUGCCCGUAAUCAGACUCAAAAAAAUGGCCUCUUUUUUACCUGCAAGUUGAUUUUUUUUCUCUAUUUAAUUAUUAACUGUUCCUGCUGCUAACCAAAAAAGUUAGUUUAAAUCAUGAUAUUAUGAAAAAAAAUUUUACUCAACUUCAGAAAUGCACAUGGAAGAAUGCAUGAUCUGCAGUUCAGGGACAGGAUCAGGCACUGAAGAGCCACACUGGAUGAGAUGGAAAAUCAGCACAGAUUUGUAUAUAUCUGUUACAGCAGCCUGGAUCAGGUAUCUCAGAGGAAGUUUAAAAUCUUCUCAGCAAACAACCUCCAACGUGAGGGAAUUCACAAUUCAACACAAUCUGUCAACUUCUUUUUAGACAUCCCCUGUUCAAACUGUACAAUGGAGUGUAUACUGUAACUGAGACUAUAACAUGGAAAGAGGUGUUGAUAUAAAGAGUAUUUCAUAUAUCUAUAGAGCAAAACUGCAAGUGUAAACUAGGCAGAGACUAAGGGAUGAGUAAUAAGUGAACCACCGACAAGGGAUGUUCUUGUUAAGGCCUGCAGAGAAUCAGCUAGUCAUGCCAGGCUGCUGUCUACCCUAUUUUGAACUGCAAGGUCACAUGAAAAUACAGAUGACAACUGCUCUGGAUGUUUUCCUAAAAUUCUGCUCCCGGGCUCCCAUGGUGUCUCCAGCACUGAUGCACCUCAUUACAGCCAUGCAGCCUGGCAUUAGAGGGUGAAAUCUCUUCACAUGCUGGGAGUGAUGAGAUCAGUACCGACGAUGAAGAUGAGCCAGGAUAUCUGAUGCUGCAAAAUGCCUUUGAGAGCAUCUGCCCUCUCAUCAGCACACACAACUGCUCUCCAUCUGUGCCAUUCUCCAUCCUCUGGGGCUGCAUCACCCCUUCACCAAUUAGGCCAUUAUGCUGCUGAGGACAAUUUGUAAGUAAUAUUUUUGGUGCACCUUGUUUUUCCAAUUACAUUUGUUUGCCACUUAAAAGGAAAAGAGAGAGUGAGAAAAGAAAGGAAAAAAAGUAUUUGCACUGAGUUCUUGAAACAGUUUAAAUAGAAGGCUUGGUCUCAACUUUUCCUCUUUAAUUAUCUGCUUCUGCUACUUGGAAUUUUCAGGGCUGUUUGAGCCCUGUAAUAACUUGUGUGAUUUAUAGUUAUAAUGAUUUAUUCCUGCUGGGGGGGGGGAAACCAUGCUGAUUGCUUCUCUCUUGUUUUUGCUGUGUCAUUCCCUAUGCUCACAGUAUGUAUUGCAAUGGGUUUUCUAAAAAGACAAAAAACUCCAAUCAAUAUCAUUUUCUAAAAGCAAACACUUGAUGAACACAUUGAUACACAAGCUGCUAACUAUAUCAUACGUGAAAAUAAACACACCUGUUGAGUGUAUGCAUAGAUGCUUCAGGUUUUUUCCCAGGGGAAAAAAAACGUUAUUUUCCAUAUGUCAAGAAUCUGAUGUGUUCCCUGCUAUUUUCUUGCUUAUACAGACCAAUCUACUGCAAUCUAGUAUCUUUGGGCUUUUUACUAUGCCCUAGACUGAUAGUUUCAAAGAUUUUCCCUUAAUAACUUCAAGCCAUUUUUCUGAUCAUUGCACUGGAUGAUGGGCCCACUUAGUACCCAUACUUAAGCUUGGUUGUUGGUUGGGUGUUUUUUGCUCCCAGACCAACCAGUUUGCAUUUAUACAAACUGCAAUGAUUCCAGUAGAAAAUAAAAACGACCGAAUGUGAUUUUAUGUGGCUAGUUUGUGUCCUUUGACUGAAAUUCACCCACACCUUUAGAGAGGGACAAGAAGUACAUAAUUUUGAGUGCUCAGGAGGUGGUUUUUGGUGCAUUAAGGCCCCCUGCACAAAAGGGAACUUUGCUCUUCUUUCAGUAUUAGCACUGUGCCUGCAAAUAGAAAUCAUAUUACCUUCAAUUGCAUUUACUAUGUAUCAGUGUCAGACUACUCAGGUUUGUUCUCUCUCAGGUUUGUUCUGCAUUUACAAGAGGAGGGCAGGUUUCACUACCCAGAAGAUACAUUUCUUGAUAACUUGUAGCCACCAGUAAAAAACUAACAUAAAUUAUUGGUAACUAAAAACCACAUGCAUUUGAAGUGUGGAAUGAUUUUAUCACCUCUGUCCAGUGUCUCCAGAAAUUAUCAUUGGUGAUGAUAGGAAAUAUUUGUUUCAGGGGAAAACAAACGAGCAGGUAGAGAUGGUGAACACCAGCUCUACACUCUGCUGCACAUUAACUUGUUUUCUUGUCUAGGAAUCACUCCACAGAUUGACUAGUUUUAUUUACCAGCCCUCCUAGACAGAGUUUGAAAAUGAGAAAAAAGUGUGUUACAUUUAUUUAUUAUAUUGUUUUCUUCCUUCAGUCCAAUCUCUGCAAAGCUUCUGUUUAUUUUUCUUUGUUGCCUUGUACCUGCACUUGCAGCUUGAGGCUGCUGCCUCUGACCUUUCUACAGAGAAGCCCAAACCCACGCUCUCAUGUCUCACUGCUGUGACUCUUCUGAGGAUCUGGCUGUUGAGGGAGGAGGGUCACUACCCGAAUACCAAGCACUCCCAGUUGCCACCCGGUUCCAGCAGUCUUGUAAGCUGAAGAAAUCCUCCUGUAUUUUGUGAUGUAUUUGCAAAAUCUUAGGCUUUGCCUAUUUUUCAGUGUCCUUUUUUAUUUGCCUAUGGAAUAAACCAAUUGAAAAUAUUCAAAUUAAGAAAUAAGACCUGUUGUGAGCCUAGAAAGAAAUGUAUCUGUUAAGAUCAGUAACAAUUACAUGACAAAACCUCUAUGGACAAAUUAGUAGAGUCAGCAAACAAACACUGGUUUUCAAACAGAGAUUUCUUUUUUUGGAAUUAUUUUUCCCCCUCUGAUAAUGUGCCAGCUCCUCAAGCAUAUUUCUUCACCUCCUAAUAUUUUGAAAGGCACAGUCACUGUCUCCUGCAUCUUUAGCACCCACCAAUUCCAAUCAAAAUAUCAGCAAUGAAGAUGGAUAUCCCUGUCAGGCAUGACUUCAUCUCGUAGUAGAGUAAGGAAGGCAAAGCCAGUAUCAUAAAUCACUUUCCUUCAAGGGUAUAGUCAAGUGACAUGAGAAGUUAAAGGUUUAAAAUAAAGUUUCAACUUCACCUGUCACUUUCUCUGUCACAGAAUGACAAAAUCCCAGGGGACACAGCCCAGCUUGAGGAAGGAGAAAGAGGCUGCAUGGUCUUAUAGUCCAUAUUGCCAGCUAUCUCCAGGACUAGUGCUAGUCAUGGUCCUUGGAAAUGUUCAAUGUGAUUCUAUGUUUCUAUGGCCAGGAAAAGCCAAUUUGCAGCUGUUAGUAUCUUUUCAACAGUUAUAUAAAUUCCUUAGCCUGAGAAUUUUCUCUGAUAAUGCAUGAAGGGCAAGAAUCAAAGCCCAGCAAGUCCAUGGAUCACAUCUCAGUAGGCUUUGAUUCUCUUUGGACAUGACACCCAGCUGCAAAAUGAAAGGGGAGAGCUGCACAGAAUAUUCAAGAAUACUAUAGAAAGGAGGAUAGGGAGGGAGGGCUGGCUGGAAAUACCCAGCACUUUUUCAGGUCUGUAAAAACAGAUGACAAACAAAAAAUAAAGCAGCUGCCAGAAUGACCUUCCAACCCAAAAUGUUUCCCUGCAUCAGUCCUAACAAAAAGGACUUGUAGUAGGUCUCCAGUAGUCUCUUUGAGCAAGCCAAAAACCAAUUCUUCAUCUUCUAAAUCCAUGGGGGCUUUUUCAGCCUUAAGAAUGGCCAGUGUGCUUUUGGGGUUGGUUUCCCAACAGUGGAAAGAAACCAGUGAUUACUGAAAUUUAAACUGUAAAUGCUGUAGAAAAUCUGUUAUCCAAACUGUGACUCUUCUGCUUUAUUACUAAUCACUGCAACACUGCCUUUGAGUCUCAAAUUUAUUUACUGACCAAAAGGCCUCUGUAAUUAAGCCAUGAUUUUGCUCCAGCAGGUGACCCUAGGUUAAAAAAAGAAAAAAAAAAGAAAAAAAAAAAAAAAAAAAAAAAAAAAAAAAAAGGGAAAUAAAGGCAUCACAUGAUUCCACAUAACUGCAAAUGAUAUCUUCAACUAACCUCAUACAACAUCAUGAAUUGUCAGUGAGAUUGCAGGGAUCUGGAAGGUGGAUUUGGACUGCAGAACCAUAAAUCCUAUGGGACAGCAGCUAGAAAAACACCAGUCAACUUGCACAGCCCAAGCCAAGCUGCAGAGCUGAUAGGUACAGCUAAAUCAUGCUGUAAAUGUAUAAAGUGAAAAUAUGUUCCAGAUGGUGUGUUCUUCCCCUUAAAUCCUCUCAGGUCUCACCUGGGGAUAUGAGUAUCUCUAGACACAGUCAUAAAAAAAGAGGCAAUACCUAAGAAAAGAAGUCUAGUAAACAAAAAAAAAAAAAAAAAUGAGACAUACUUGUGUGGUUUACUGGAAAAAUCCUAAACUUUGCAUAUGUAUUUUUCUUUGGUUAUCAAUAGCCUAUUCUUCUCUAAUUUCAUAACCUAAGCAAGAAGGGAACAAAUCAAACAAAUGUUGUCAUAAAAAGUCAAAGACAUUUUAUGCUUUGCUAAGAGCCCAUUGCUGAAAUGUCUGAUGUUAGAAACAAUAGAGUAAAAGAUUUAAAUGACUAACAGCUAUUUUAGAAUAAAUGUGUCUUGCAAAAGUUGCAUACACAGUGAGAAAAUAAAAAUUAGGGAAAAUUGCUCAAAUAAAAAGCAUAAAAUGUGAAUUUCAUUAGAUUACAACAUGUAGGCCAGCAUAUUUUAUCUGCUAUUGCUCUAUUUGGCUUAAAACCCAGAAGUAUUUAGGAUAAUUAUAAUUACUACCAGUAAGAAUUUCCAUGGUUGGGGAAACAUUAAUAUUUCAACAUUGGUUUUCAUGCUGAAUCAAAAUUUUAAAAAAUCAAA